GAACUUUCCAGAGAUGGAUUGGUGCCUUCGGGAACUGUGAGACAGGUGCUGCAUGGCUGUCGUCAGCUCGUGUUGUGAAAUGUUGGGUUAAGUCCCGCAACGAGCGCAACCCUUAUCCUUUGUUGCCAGCGGUCCGGCCGGGAACUCAAAGGAGACUGCCAGUGAUAAACUGGAGGAAGGUGGGGAUGACGUCAAGUCAUCAUGGCCCUUACGACCAGGGCUACACACGUGCUACAAUGGCGCAUACAAAGAGAAGCGACCUCGCGAGAGCAAGCGGACCUCAUAAAGUGCGUCGUAGUCCGGACUGGAGUCUGCAACUCGACUCCAUGAAGUCGGAAUCGCUAGUAAUCGUGGAUCAGAAUGCCACGGUGAAUACGUUCCCGGGCCUUGUACACACCGCCCGUCACACCAUGGGAGUGGGUUGCAAAAGAAGUAGGUAGCUUAACCUUCGGGAGGGCGCUUACCACUUUGUGAUUCAUGACUGGGGUGAAGUCGUAACAAGGUAACCGUAGGGGAACCUGCGGUUGGA
rnacentral:rRNA from 1 species